rnacentral:rRNA from 1 species
CCUACGGGUGGCAGCAGUCGAGAAUCAUUCACAAUGGGGGAAACCCUGAUGGUGCGACGCCGCGUGGGGGAAUGAAGGUCUUCGGAUUGUAAACCCCUGUCAUGUGGGAGCAAAUUAAAAAGAUAGUACCACAAGAGGAAGAGACGGCUAACUCGGUGCCAGCAGCCGCGGUAAUACAGCGGUCUCAAGCGUUGUUCGGAAUCACUGGGCGUAAAGCGUGCGUAGGCUGUUUCGUAAGUCGUGUGUGAAAGGCGCGGGCUCAACCCGCGGACGGCACAUGAUACUGCGAGACUAGAGUAAGGGAGGGGGAAGCGGAAUGCUUGGUGUAGCAGUGAAAUGCGUAGAUAUCGAGAGGAACACUGGUGGCGAAGGCGGGUUCCGGGACACUAACUGACGCUGAGGCACGAAGGCGAGGGGAGCGAAAGGGAUUAGAUACCCGAGUAGUC